ACAACCCAAGAGGACCCUCAACAGAAAUCAAGAGAAAAGGCAAUUAGUGAAUUAUCUAGGCUUGCAUUCACUGGGAGCGAGAUUGUUGACGCUGCAACUAUAUUUGCUAAAACUCCAGAACACAUGAACAUGAUGCUUGUGCUUCCAGAAAUCCUUAGGAGGGACUUCGUCCUCAAAAUGCUCUCGGACGAAAGAAAGAAGCAAGGUUGAUGGGAAAGAAGGCCCUUCUCCACUAUUGGUGUGACAUGACUG